CGGACCGGCGCACGGGUGAGUAACGCGUAUGCAACCUGCCUGAUACCGGGGUAUAGCCCAUGGAAACGUGGAUUAACACCCCAUAGUACUUUUAUCCUGCAUGGGAUGUGAGUUAAAUGUUCAAGGUAUCGGAUGGGCAUGCGUCCUAUUAGUUAGUUGGCGGGGUAACAGCCCACCAAGACGAUGAUAGGUAGGGGUUCUGAGAGGAAGGUCCCCCGCAUUGGGACUGAGACACGGUCCAA
rnacentral:rRNA from 1 species